rnacentral:rRNA from 1 species
CGAAAACGAAUUCUCUCUUGAGUGGAUCCUGAGUACGACGGAGCACGUGAAAUUCCGUCGGAAUCUGGGAGGACCAUCUCCUAAGGCUAAAUACUCUCUAGUGACCGAUAGUGAACCAGUACCGUGAGGGAAAGGUGAAAAGUACCCCGGAAGGGGAGUGAAAGAGAACUUGAAACCGUGUGCUUACAAGUAGUCAGAGCCCGUUAAUGGGUGAUGGCGUGCCUUUUGUAGAAUGAACCGGCGAGUUACGAUCUGAUGCAAGGUUAAGCAGAAAAUGUGGAGCCGUAGCGAAAGCGAGUCUGAAUAGGGCGAAUGAGUAUUUGGUCGUAGACCCGAAACCAGGUGAUCUACCCUUGGUCAGGUUGAAGUUCAGGUAACACUGAAUGGAGGACCGAACCGACUUACGUUGAAAAGUGAGCGGAUGAACUGAGGGUAGCGGAGAAAUUCCAAUCGAACUUGGAGAUAGCUGGUUCUCUCCGAAAUAGCUUUAGGGCUAGCCUCAAGUGAUGAUUAUUGGAGGUAGAGCACUGUUUGGACGAGGGGCCCCUCUCGGGUUACCGAAUUCAGACAAACUCCGAAUGCCAAAUAAUUUAACUUGGGAGUCAGAAUGUGGGUGAUAAGGUCCAUAUUCGAAAGGGAAACAGCCCAGAC